ACGGGUGAGUAAUGCCUAGGAAUCUGCCUGGUAGUGGGGGAUAACGUUCGGAAACGAACGCUAAUACCGCAUACGUCCUACGGGAGAAAGCAGGGGACCUUCGGGCCUUGCGCUAUCAGAUGAGCCUAGGUCGGAUUAGCUAGUUGGUGAGGUAAUGGCUCACCAAGGCGACGAUCCGUAACUGGUCUGAGAGGAUGAUCAGUCACACUGGAACUGAGACACGGUCCAGACUCCUACGGGAGGCAGCAGUGGGGAAUAUUGGACAAUGGGCGAAAGCCUGAUCCAGCCAUGCCGCGUGUGUGAAGAAGGUCUUCGGAUUGUAAAGCACUUUAAGUUGGGAGGAAGGGCAGUUACCUAAUACGUGAUUGUUUUGACGUUACCGACAGAAUAAGCACCGGCUAACUCUGUGCCAGCAGCCGCGGUAAUACAGAGGGUGCAAGCGUUAAUCGGAAUUACUGGGCGUAAAGCGCGCGUAGGUGGUUCGUUAAGUUGGAUGUGAAAUCCCCGGGCUCAACCUGGGAACUGCAUUCAAAACUGUCGAGCUAGAGUAUGGUAGAGGGUGGUGGAAUUUCCUGUGUAGCG
rnacentral:rRNA from 1 species